CGACGUAGGCUUUCGUAGGUGACCUGCGGAGGAUCAUUAUCGAGUUUUGACCGGGUUGUAGCUGGCCUUCUGAGGCAUGUGCACGCCCUGCUCAUCCACUCUACACCUGUGCACUUACUGUGGGCUUCAGAUUGCGAGGCACGCUCUUUACCGGGCUUGCGGAGCAUAUCUGUGCCUGCGUUUAUCACAAACUCUAUAAAGUAACAGAAUGUGUAUUGCGAUGUAACACAUCUAUAUACAACUUUCAGCAACGGAUCUCUUGGCUCUCGCAUCGAUGAAGAACGCAGCGAAAUGCGAUAAGUAAUGUGAAUUGCAGAAUUCAGUGAAUCAUCGAAUCUUUGAACGCACCUUGCGCUCCUUGGUAUUCCGAGGAGCAUGCCUGUUUGAGUGUCAUGAAAUCUUCAACCUACAAGCUUUUGUGGUUUGUAGGCUUGGACUUGGAGGCUUGUCGGCCGUUAUCGGUCGGCUCCUCUUAAAUGCAUUAGCUUGGUUCCUUGCGGAUCGGCUCUCGGUGUGAUAAUGUCUACGCCGUGACCGUGAAGCGUUUGGCGAGCUUCUAACCGUCUUAUAAGACAGCUUUAUGACCUCUGACCUCAAAUCAGGUAGGACUACCCGCUGAACUUAAGCAUAUCAAUAAGCGGAGGAAAAGAAACUAACAAGGAUUCCCCUAGUAACUGCGAGUGAAGCGGGAAAAGCUCAAAUUUAAAAUCUGGCGGUCUUUGGCCGUCCGAGUUGUAGUCUGGAGAAGUGCUUUCCGCGCUGGACCGUGUACAGGGUCUCCCUGA
rnacentral:rRNA from 1 species